UCUGAAGGGUUCCUUACCGCGUGUCCCAGCAGAGGGAGGAGCCUGCAUUCUCACAGCCCUCGAUAAUCUCGGUUUCCUACUUCCAGCAUAUCUUCCAUUUAAACUGAAUCACAGCCAGCUAACAAUUCAGUUCAUUGACAAUUGCCAUGACAACAACUGGAAAAGCCCACUCAAGGACUGAAAAGGAGUGGUCUGGCUCCAAACCACACCCCUAUUCUCAGCAUGCAGAAGUUCCCUGGCGAGGGACUGCACCCAUGCCAUGGAGUGACCCAACCUGCUGCAGUGACAACACAAAAUCCUCAAUCUGCUGAGCCACAA